UGUAUCAAUUUUCACUGUAAUAAACCCUAACCAAAUGAAAUCAAACCCAGAAAUCAAGUCUCUGUCUUCUUCUCUCUCUUCACUUGAGAAUCAUAUCUAUCUUGAUGAAUUGAUCGAACUAAUCUAUGAUUUCAUUCUCUCUUCUUAAAUAUAUGGUUGAUAGGCUUGAUGUGAAAUUGGCGAAGUUUGAUGCUGGACGAAGUUAAAGGUGAUUAAAGAAGUGAGAAAUUUACCUAAUUGGUUGAGAAAAUACAUGCAUUUGUGAAGAAAGGAGUUAGUGAAGAAGAAGGUUUCUAAAGUAGUUUUGUCUUGUGUACUGCCAGGAAUGAAAGAUCUUUAUCAUCUUCUAAAGCAUGAGUUUCUCCCCUUGGAUUUGUCUCUAAAAGUUCAGCCCUUGUUGAACAAAAAUUUCUAAGUUUGGUGGAAAACUUGCUUCAGCUGCAAUUGUCAAAGUAUAGUCCUGCCUUGGAAAAGCUAGCAACUCUGAGGUUGCUACAGCAGGUGCUCCAUUUGCUUCCCAAGUUACAAUGGCUAUUGAGAGUUUUUCCCAAGUGAUUCCAUUUUUUGUUUUUUCCACUGUGGAAAAGAUCUCUGUAGAUGCUGUGAAACAUAGGUUUACAAAUAUGAAGGUUGACCAUAUGAAUGGUGCUGUUUUGUUUAAAAUUCUGUAGGUCAAUCGGUAUCUCAAACCUGCUGUGUGCUGUUCUUCCUCCAGGAUUGUAGGGCCGCAAUACCUGAUUUGCAGUUUGAAGAGAAGUGACAGUGUAUAGGCAGACGUAUGACCGACGGACUUCUUUCGUGGAUAUCAAAUUCAAAAAUUCUCCAUGCGGCCUCACAUGCUGAGAUAUACCUACAAUCAAGGUGAAGAGUAACGUUUGUUGAGUCUGGGCUGAGAGCAUAGUGUUUAGGUUGUUCCCAAGGAGUUUUAUCGACUAUCUUUUGAUAUCUUUACUUCUCUUUAUGAGAUAGCCGAAUUUGAGGUUGUUCUGCCUCGUUGGAAGUCUUAUUUGAUCAUUUGGGAUUUCUUUCUCUUCAUUAUUUCUAUUUCAGUUAUUUAUUUAUUUUGUUUAGUUUUUAGUAACCCUUAGAGUGAUAUUCCGUUUUGACGUUAUUUCCGCUAACGUCUCGCCUUCUAUUUUAGAUGGGGUUUUACACCUAUACUCUGAAGAUCCCAAACCGGGUCAAAGUCAACAUGAGGGACGGAAUGGGACAUACGAGGUGGAGAGAAAGCCACCUCGGGCUGAGGCUGGGGUGGUGGUACUGGUGGUGGUGGUGCCUGCCCCCUAGCGUUGGCAACUAAAGCAUCAUAAGUGUAAGAAAGUUGCCCUGGGGGAAAGGCGGUCAAGUCAGGACUGGGUAGGGGAAAAAUGGGUAAAGGUUGCUCUUUCCCAGUUCAAAUACACCAAAAGGGUGUCUGCUCGCUAUCCGGUCUAACCCACCCCACAUCCUCAAAAUACCUAGCAGUCAUGUAGGUAUCUGGUCCACAGUUGGUCAGCUGGUGGGGUCCGUCGACAAUAAAACCGGCCUUUUUCACCGUUAUUCGAGUGAUAAGGCCACCUAAACGGAUAGGGGACUUGGAAGUGGUGCUGGCUGUGGCAUGCCUACUCAAAUGGUGAACUAUAAACCUGCCUAUGUUCAAUUUCCCGAACCCGUACACAUAAUGUCCUAUAACAGCUAGUUUGAGCGUUAUGAGGCUCGGCCCUACCUAAAAAACACAAACCCGCAAAUCUUUGCCAGAUUUUUGGGACAGGGUGGUGAAUAGGUUUGGUACUAGCAUGUUGGGGGUCGGGGGCAGGUAAACCAGUCAAAGCAUAAUAUAAGUCACCCAUUUUAUAGUCUGCAUGCCAUUGGUGAGAUAAUUCAGAAUUUAAUUCAAAAAUUUUACAAAAUUCAACAAAAGUUAAACUAAUAUUUCUAUUAUUUAACCUGAAUAAUAAAUUAGGCCCAUUCCUACUACUAACAACAUGAAAAGUGGACAGGAAUUCACAGGUAAGUUCUCGGUAUGUAGGACAGGAAUUCACAGGUAAGUUCUCGGUAUGUAUCUACAAAAUUCAACAAAAGUUAAACUAAUAUUUCUAUUAUUUAACCUGAAAAAUAAAUUAGGCCCAUUCCUACUACUAACAACAUGAAAAGUGGACAGGAAUUCACAUGUAAGUUCUCGGUAUGUAGGAUAGUGCAUGUCAACAAAUUUUCUCAUGCCAAUAUCAUUCAAAAAUCGUUUAACAAAAUCAUACAAACCAAAUGAUUCUAAGGUAGGGCGGUGUAACCACCGAGAAGGAAUUACCUCACGACCGACCAAAUGCUCUAGCCGUUCCUUUUGUUCCCGGCUCACAAACCGGAUCGUCAGCCAAUAUGGGAGUUGCAAGUCCGGGUCGUAUUCCUCCCUUGAACUGGAGUUCCUACCAAAAAUGGACCUAGCCCUCUUUGAAGCCAUGUUGAAGAAAUGGGU